AGGAUAAUAGUUAAAAAUAACAUUUAAUUUGCACUUAAAAAGUAUUGCUACGCAAUUUAUCUU
rnacentral:tRNA from 1 species